rnacentral:rRNA from 1 species
AACAAAAACAUUUUCUUUGGGUUAUAUCAAAGAUAAGGCCUGCUCAAUGAAUCUUAAAUGGCCGCAGUAUAAUGACUGUGCUAAGGUAGCAUAAUAAUUUGCCUUUUAAUUGGGGGCUGGGAUGAAAGGUUUUAUGGAAAAUAGCUGUUUUAAAAGAAAAAAUUGAACUUAAGUCCUUCAUAAAAACUUGAAGGGGUGCUCAAGGGACGAGAAGACCCCGUGGAUUUUUAUUUGCUAGAAAAUAAAUUUUAUAAUAUUUUAUUUUUUAACCAAAUUUGGUUGGGACGACAGUAAAAUUAACUUUAUUAUAAUGGUGAUUAGAUCCUUAUUGAGGAAUAAAGAACAAAUUACCCCGGGGAUAACAGAAUA